rnacentral:snRNA from 1 species
ACACAUGAGGUGAUCUGACAACAAUAUAUGUUGCUCCAUUGAUCGCCAGGGUUUAUUCGGCUCAUCUGGUUGGCUAGCCAGGUGUCCUCCUCCUCCCUCACUGCUCCAGCUGUGUGGUUGGUGGAAGAGGAUGAUGCUCCAGGUGUAGAAGGAGUGUACCAAGGUCUCCACUCUUCAGUCCUGGGUAUACCAUAGCUACUCCCCUGCUAAAACCUCCAAACAAACUCAAGGCCCAUAAACUCUAGUGGACUCCAGUUCACUUCAUAAGAGGUAUGGUAUUUCCCCUUAUAAGAGAUAUGGACACAUACAUGAACUGU